CUCUUUCACCAUCAUUUCUUGUUCACAAGUUCAUCCCUAGCCCUUGUGCUAGUAGGAGUCGUGUUUGCUGAAGAGAUUUGGGUUACAAGUACCGAAGAUGCAAUACUGGAAUUAAUUGGAUCUGGCAAGUGAAGCAUGUUAGCUGCGUACUAAAUAGAGAUGUCAUCCAGGGUCAUAGGUUUGGGGGGUGUAACUCCUUCCUGGACUGGUUGCAUGUCUCAAAUCCUCGUUUUGUUAAUAGUCUUUCGUCGAGUCUUAUGGACUCCUUUUAAACAAAUCAUGGUUUGUAACAUAUUCAAUGGUUGAUAUUUUUA
rnacentral:lncRNA from 1 species